rnacentral:rRNA from 1 species
UACGUAGGGUGCAAGCGUUGUCCGGAAUUAUUGGGCGUAAAGAGCUCGUAGGCGGUUCGUCGCGUCGGCUGUGAAAACCCGGAGCUCAACUCCGGGCCUGCAGUCGAUACGGGCGGACUAGAGUUCGGCAGGGGAGACUGGAAUUCCUGGUGUAGCGGUGAAAUGCGCAGAUAUCAGGAGGAACACCGGUGGCGAAGGCGGGUCUCUGGGCCGAUACUGACGCUGAGGAGCGAAAGUGUGGGGAGCGAACAGG